CUCCAGUCUGCUGCAGUGGAUUAGUCAGCUCCAUUUAUUUAAGGUAUUGCAGAGAGAGCUGAGGAGUCCCGGACAGUGUGAGAGUGUCCGAUCUUCAAGAUGCAGCGCAUCUACAUGCACAGCAAUGAACACUUUGAGGUUUUCACCACUGUCCUUGCUCCACAAGGGAGGUAUCGAUACAGAGCAGAAGCUGAAAAGGCAAGUUCGUUUUUUUCUUAAUUUCCAUCAACAUAAAUUUGCAUAUUUAACUGUAGCACUGAUAUGAAAAUGAGAACACAAUUCACAGUUUUAUGUAUGCUUAUAUAUGUCCAAGACUAAUGUAUAUGAAUGUGACAUUGCAUCAAGUUAAUCAAUUUCCUGCAAAAUUAUGCAUUUAGUUUUCUAAUUUCUCUCACAUAAUAUUCAGGUGUAACAUAAUGAAGGGUAAACCCUGAUUAAGAGUUACUAUUACACUAUAUAACAACUAAUCCAAGUCUUCACACGUAAUCCUUUCCAUUCACCUAGUCUGACCUGCAGGUUGUAAAAAAAAAAAAAAGGAGCUGAUCAUAAACAAGUUCUGCCCUAACAUAAAUUUAGCAUUGAAUUUUAAUCUUGCAAUAUUGAAUAUUCAAAUUGGAGCUAAAAAUUAUUGUAAUUCUCCUUUUGUCCAUUAGAUGGUAGUGGUGCACAGGUACAGGCCCCACUGGCCUGACGAGCUGGAGCUGUCUCCAGGUGACGUCACCCUGGUGCUGUCCAAACAUGAGGAAGGGAGGUGGUUUGGGCAGCUGCAGAAUGGGCAGCGAGGUUAUUUCCCCGCCUCAUGUGUGAUGGAGCUGGGCCAGGCAAAUCUGCCUCCCAAAGGCAUUCGGAGGAGUUUAUCUGUGAGGACUACACCCGGUGAUAGUGAGCGUGGCAGAUAUGGGAAUGGACACAUUCUGCAGGCUUUCAAGAGGGGGAGCAGAGGAGGUGGAGGAGGAGGAGGAGUGGGGCUGGAGAAGGGCCAGGGUGAGCGUGAAGGCCCUUUCCUGGUGCGGAGCUCCCAGAUCCCUUUGCCUCAGCCCGUGGCCUCUCAGCCCCAGGCACACAGAUCUCCAAACUUGCUCCACAGGAUCUUGUCCAAGUGCCGGAAAAAGAUUGAAUGCCAGGGAGCCACCAAUGGGGCCUUCGAGGGCGACUAAGAAACCCCUUUCUUUGUCCUGGGUGGCUGAGCUGAGAUCACUUUGGUGAGGUUGCACUCGGGGUGGAGGAUGAGGGGAGCAGAGGAGCUUCUGAAAUGUGCAGACAAAUCUUGAAUUUCCUGAUGUGGGCUUGUGCUUUAUCAGGAAUUUCUAGAUGCAAGCAGGAGGUUGAAGGCUGAAUGUAAACUCCCUAAUUAGUGAUGUCACAGUAGUGUAUGUGUGUGUGUGUGUUACCCACUUUAUCUGAUGGCCAAAGCAUGCCGUGACAUCACUGAUGGGGGCGUUGUCUGAAGUGCAACGUGCUGGAAAGUUUGAAUGUGUUGCUCUUUUCUGCCCAGUGCUUCAGCUAAUCUAAAGUCAGGCUUAUAUUCUGAAAACUGUCCAACAUUAGUCGCUGCAAUCAAAGCUCAAACAACGUAGCAGUUAGAUGCAGUCAGUGGAGCAGGAAGUAAUGCUUCAUGAUUAUUAAAUUUAGCCUUUUCUAUAACGCUGCCUUUAUUGAAUGUUAUUUCUGCUAUUGGUUUUGUUAUGUUCCUUACUUUUUUUCCUGUGAGUUGUUAAUGUGUGUCUAUGUCUAAUUAACAUGCAAUAUCUGUAAUAUGUUACUGUGAUAAUGAUAAAACCAGCAAACCCUCCGUGAUUGUAUGAUGAUUUCAUUUCAGUCCAAACAUGCCUCAGUGUACGACUCAAUGCUAAAGCUCCUGUUCAUUUUCCUUUGAACACACUGGGCCUCCCUCCUUUCUAAUAGGAAGUGUGAUUGAGGCCUGCUGAAAGCUUUGCCAAAAGACCAGGGAUUGUGCCAGUUGCCCCAGCAACUCCAAAGCAGCUCUCAGAAGUUGCAUGUAGUCUUCUUUUUUCAGUGGUGCCUCCCAGCCUUGUCCUUAUGGUGGGAUCUCUAUAGGGUGGGCUGUAGAUUACCUUCUGCAGAGGACAUAAAAUCCUAACUUUGGCCUUGACCUCCACAGGGAAAUACACCCCUCCUCCACUCGCUGUUUGAUAUUCACUGUUGUAUAAUCCUUUGUUAUAAAGGCUGCAGGAGGCAGUCACUCUGGGGCCAGUGUUUGGAAGACAUGUCCUGCACAGUGAAGAGUGUAAAUGUUACAAAGACAGACAGCUCCACUCGUCCUGUAGCAAACUCUCAUUCACAAGGAGAAUAUUUUAGCCUUUACUGUUAGUUUACCUCGAGCCUGUGAAUCAGUUUUAUAUAGGGUCAAGGAAUUAUUGUGAAUAACUUUGUGAUUACUUCUGUAGUUUGACAAAAGAACUGAGUGUAUGCACAUAUAUACACAGUUAUUGUAAGUGUAGUUAAAUAUAGGGUAUAAAGUAUGGAGGAUCAAAACUGUCAAAAUCCCAAAUAAACAAUAAAAACCUUUAAUAUUUUUUAAAUGAAAUCAAUCAAUCAAUAAAUAUGUCAACAAAUGCACCAAAAAGAAUUAAAAACAUUUUUGUAAUUUUUAAUUUUUACAUUAAUUAUAAAAUAUGGCUUCAUAUAAUUGAGCUUAAGUGUCUUAUUGCAUGCAUGGUUCAAUAUAUGAGCGGGGCGCCAAAAAGAAUAGGCAGGAAUGCCAGAGGGGCAAAACACCAAAUAGUGGUAGACAGAACAGUCGCCUGAACCUGCAAGACUAGGCUCACCAACCUGUGCACUGCCUGGACUGACUAUAAGAAACUCUAUGCCCCACCCAUGGAUCCUGGAUGCCUAGAACUGUACGAGAUCAACAGGAUCCUGAGAGCCAUCCUCAGGAAUUCAAUGGGGAUGUAGCGAACAACACUAGAGGCCAACUUCAAGCCAAUAGCAUAAGUCACCAUCAAGUGUGGGAUCUGCCAAGGCGAUGGUCUGUCCCCACUGCUGUUCUGCAUAGGCCUGAACCCCCUCAGUGAGAUUACUGAAAACAGAAUGGAGCAAUCGUCAGCCACCUCCUCUACAUGUGUGAUAUCAAGCUGUAGGCCAAGAAUGAAUGAGAUAUUGAUGCACUGAUCCAUACCACCUGGAUAUACAGCAACGACAUUGGAAUGUUGUUCAGACUGGAGAAGUGUAGCAGGAUGAUAACAAAGAGAGGGACGCUAGUCAGAACUGAGGGGACUGUAAUACCAGAGGACAGCUACAGCUACAAGCUACAAGUAUGGCCUGGAAGUCCCAAGGUUAAAAUGGGACACACCCCCUAGGGUGGUUGAGAAGGAAUGAGCUAAGGUCCUGUGCGACCUCCAUAUCAAGACAGACAAACUGGUGAUGGAUAACCAACUGGACAUAGUGGUGGUGGAAAAGCAGAGGAAGAUGGCUGUAGUGAUAGAUGUAGCUAUACUAAGUGAUAGCAACAUCAGGAAGAAGGAACAUGAGAAGCUUGAGAAAAGGGAUGAGAGAAGAGCUUGCAAAGUUGUGGAGGAUGAAAGCAAAGGUGGUCCCCAUGGUAAUCAGAGCACUCGGUGCAGUGACCCCUAAUCUGGGCGAGUGGUUCCAGCAGAUCCCAGGAACAACAUCUGAGAUAUCUGUCCAGAGGAGUCCAGAACAGUCCAAGGAACAGCAAAGCUACUGCACAGGAUCCUCAAGCUCCCAGGCCUCUGGUAGAGGACCCGAGCUUGAAGAAUAAAGACCACCCGCAGGGGCGAGUGGGGAAUU
rnacentral:lncRNA from 1 species